UGGGUUGUGGCUCAGCCGUAUAGCGCUCGCCUAGCAUGUGUGAGGCGCUGGGUUCAAUCCUCAGCAACACAU
rnacentral:tRNA from 1 species